rnacentral:rRNA from 1 species
AUUGAACGCUGGCGGCAUGCUUUACACAUGCAAGUCGAACGGCAGCACGAGUGCUUGCACUUGGUGGCGAGUGGCGAACGGGUGAGUAAUACAUCGGAACGUGUCCUAAAGUGGGGGAUAACGCAUCGAAAGAUGUGCUAAUACCGCAUAAUCUCUAAGGAGAAAAGUAGGGGAUCGAAAGACCUUAUGCUUUUGGAGCGGCCGAUGUCUGAUUAGCUAGUUGGUGGGGUAAUGGCCUACCAAGGCGACGAUCAGUAGCUGGUCUGAGAGGAUGGCCAGCCACACUGGGACUGAGACACGGCCCAGACUCCUACGGGAGGCAGCAGUGGGGGAAUUUUGGGACAAUGGGCGGCAAGCCUGAUCCAGCAAUGCCGCGUGAGU